rnacentral:lncRNA from 1 species
CCCCCCCCAUUUUUAAAAAAAAAUUUUAAAACUCUCUCCCCUCUCAUCUUCUUCCCCAGAAUCCGGCCACCGGUCCGGCCCGGCCUCCGGCAUUGCACCGCCGUGUGCGGUGGCCGACGUCUCAAAAUCGGAUCUUUUUUAUCCUAGUUCGAAGCCGAGUGUCUCUUAGGCACGGAUCUGGGGCCGAAUCUCGUGAAACAAAGGCCGAAGACCCGAAAAAGGGCGAAACCGCUCGCCUUCCUCCACGUCCGGCGCGGCGCAGGUAAAAAAGGUAAAAAGCCUUCUCCUUUAUUUUUUUCUUUAUGUUUUCAAGUUAAAAAUAAAUAAAUAAACUUAAAAGAAAUAAAAACAGUAAGCAAAAGAAAAGAUAAAACUGAGCCAAAAAAAAGUUCAACCUUUUUCUUUUUGUUCUUUUAUAAAAAUCGAGGCCGAACCCCUCUUGAUGAAUACAUUCGACUUUUUAUAGCCUUUUCAUACAUUUUUUUUAUCUAUGUUUACUGCUAUUUUGUUGUUCUUCUCCUGCUUUGCGUGUUUGGUUUGCUGUUUUGCAGGUGUCAGUAGAGCCGGUGGCGAUGUGACCGUGACGGUGGCAAGUGGGCAUGGUUGCAGGCGGCGGCAGAUGCAAGUGGGUAGAUGCGGCGCCUAGGUUAGGGGCUAGGGUUUCAGACUUUCUGAAACCCUAGGCAGAUUUUUUUCAUGAAGUUGGGCCUGGGCUAAGUGGGCUUCGGGUUUGGGUGUAAAUGGGUAGUUGGGCUGGUGGGUUGAUUGGUUAGUUGGGUUUUGGGUUAAGUUUGUUUUAAUUUUGGGUCUGCUGGUAUGGGUUUAGUCUAGGUGGGUUAAUUUGGGUACUGGGUCAAAAUGUUUUUGUUUAGUUUAGGGUUAAUUGGGUUUUGGGCUAAAAAUUGGGCUUGUACAAUAGAUUUAAAGGUUGUUAGCAAUGUCAAGACUAAAAUUUUAAAUUUUGAAAAGUAUAGGGAUAAGUAAGAAUGAUCCAAUUAAAAGAACAAGGACUAAAUCUACAUGUGUUAUUAUUUGGGUCAAAACUAAAAUUUAACCAAACAUAUUUAACUACUAUCGUUUUACGUCAUGAUUAAAUUUUCAAAAUUCAAAAAGUACAAAAGACUAGAAAAAACACAGGUACUAAAUUUAGAAAAUUUAUAAAAAAAGACUAAAUCCACAAUUUAUACAGUGUAUAGGGACUAAAUAAAAAUUUGACCUAAAAUUUAUAUAAAUCUCCUCACUCUCCGCCAAUCUCUCCCCUUUGGACUUUUAUGGAUA